CCUACGGGAGGCAGCAGUGAGGAAUAUUGGACAAUGGGCGCAAGCCUGAUCCAGCCAUGCCGCGUGCAGGAAGACGGUCCUAUGGAUUGUAAACUGCUUUUGUACAGGAAGAAACAUCCCGACGUGUCGGGACUUGACGGUACUGUAAGAAUAAGGAUCGGCUAACUCCGUGCCAGCAGCCGCGGUAAUACGGAGGAUCCAAGCGUUAUCCGGAAUCAUUGGGUUUAAAGGGUCCGUAGGCGGUUUAAUAAGUCAGUGGUGAAAUCUGGUCGCUCAACGAUCAAACGGCCAUUGAUACUGUUAGACUUGAAUUAUAAGGAAGUAACUAGAAUAUGUAGUGUAGCGGUGAAAUGCUUAGAUAUUACAUGGAAUACCAAUUGCGAAGGCAGGUUACUACUUAUGGAUUGACGCUGAUGGACGAAAGCGUGGGGAGCGAACAGGAUUAGAUACCCUGGUAGUCCACGCCGUAAACGAUGGAUACUAGCUGUUGGGAUUUAUCUCAGUGGCUAAGCGAAAGUGAUAAGUAUCCACCUGGGGAGUACGUUCGCAAAGAAGUUAGAACGUACGAAGAAGUAGUUAGACGNGAGAGAGCGACGACGACGACGACGGAGGAGGAG
rnacentral:rRNA from 1 species